rnacentral:ncRNA from 1 species
UUGAGCCGGAUGAUGGGAAACUGUCAAGUCCGGUUCUUAGGGGAGGUGCGGGUAGUAAUACCCAAACCUUACCCGAC